rnacentral:rRNA from 1 species
GUGGGGAAUAUUGCACAAUGGGCGAAAGCCUGAUGCAGCAACGCCGCGUGAGGGACGACGGCCUUCGGGUUGUAAACCUCUUUUAGUAGGGAAGAAGCGAAAGUGACGGUACCUGCAGAAAAAGCACCGGCUAACUACGUGCCAGCAGCCGCGGUAAUACGUAGGGUGCAAGCGUUGUCCGGAAUUAUUGGGCGUAAAGAGCUCGUAGGCGGUUUGUCGCGUCUGCUGUGAAAACCCGAGGCUCAACCUCGGGCCUGCAGUGGGUACGGGCAGACUAGAGUGCGGUAGGGGAGAUUGGAAUUCCUGGUGUAGCGGUGGAAUGCGCAGAUAUCAGGAGGAACACCGAUGGCGAAGGCAGAUCUCUGGGCCGUAACUGACGCUGAGGAGCGAAAGCAUGGGGAGCGAACAGGAUUAGAAACCCGAGUAGUCC